rnacentral:rRNA from 1 species
GACGUAGGAUGCAAGCGUUGUCCGGAAUUAUUGGGCGUAAAGGGCUCGUAGGCGGCCAACUAAGUCAGACGUGAAAUCCCUCGGCUUAACCGGGGAACUGCGUCUGAUACUGGAUGGCUAGAGGUUGGGAGAGGGAUGCGGAAUUCCAGGUGUAGCGGUGAAAUGCGUAGAUAUCUGGAGGAACACCGGUGGCGAAGGCGGCAUCCUGGACCAAUUCUGACGCUGAGGAGCGAAAGCCAGGGGAGCAAACGGG